UACAGAGGGUGCAAGCGUUGUUCGGAAUUACUGGGCGUAAAGUGUGCGCAGGCGGCAAAGCAAGUCGAGUGUGAAAGCCCCGGGCUUAACUUGGGAAUUGCGCUCGAAACUACUUUGCUGGAGUGUGGCAGAGGAAGGUGGAAUUCCACGUGUAGCGGUGAAAUGCGUAGAUAUCGUUUGGAACGCCAAUGGUGAAAACAGCUCGCUGGGAGUGUGCUGACGCUGAGACACGAAAGCCAGGGGAGCGAACGGG
rnacentral:rRNA from 1 species